UAGGGAAUAUUGGUCAAUGGGUGAGAGCCUGAACCAGCCAUGCCGCGUGCAGGAAGAAGGCCUUCUGGGUUGUAAACUGCUUUUGCCAGGGGAUAAAAUUUCCUUGCGAGGAAAAUUGAAGGUACCUGGUGAAUAAGCCACGGCUAACUACGUGCCAGCAGCCGCGGUAAUACGUAGGUGGCAAGCGUUGUCCGGAUUUAUUGGGUUUAAAGGGUGCGUAGGCGGCCCUGUAAGUCAGUGGUGAAAUAUCCCAGCUUAACUGGGAGGGUGGCAUUGAUACUGCGGGGCUAGAGUACAGAUGAGGUAGGCGGAAUUGACGGUGUAGCGGUGAAAUGCUUAGAUAUCGUCAAGAACACCUAUAGCGAAGGCAGCUUACUAGGCUGUAACUGACGCUGAGGCACGAAAGUGUGGGGAUCAAACAGGAUUAGAUACCCUGGUAGUCCACACUGUAAACGUUGAUUACUCGCUGUGUGCGAUAUACAGUACGCGGCCAAGCGAAAGCGCUAAGUAU
rnacentral:rRNA from 1 species